ACCCUCUCAGGCUUGCACCUGGAGAGUUUCCAGUAGUCUGCCAGUCUCAGCUAUGGGAGGGAGAGUCAAGCAGAGGAAUACCCAUUCCAUCUCUAGCUUGGCCAGUGGCUAGUGAGUGGAAGGCAACCUGCUACAAGU